UCACUCCAUCAAAAACAAAUCAAACAUGAAUGUCAAGAGUUGUACCAUAUUAGUGAUGCUGGUCGCCACAAUGGCAUCGCAGGCAGUAGUCACUGAGGCAAGAUCUGAAGAAUGGUGUCAAAUCUUGUGCUCGUGGAAAUGUCUUAUAUUCCCUCAUCCACAUGCCUGCGCUUUCCAAUGCAUGGUAAACUGCGUCCAUCCAUCGGUGGUCGAGACACUCAUAGGCCAUUGCAAUCUUGAUUGCGUGAUGUCCAAAUGUUUCGACCCGCAUUCUGAUGCCAAGAAAGUCGAAGGUUGUGUGAAUUCAUGCUCAAAAGGUUGCGAUAAAUCUUAAGCCACUCAAGAGUUCGGAGGAUCGUAUUCGCAAUUGAAGUCAAAUAAUAAAGCGUGUACACACGGAAAAGAAAUUGUUGUUUAGUUAAUUAAUUGCCAUUGGGUGUCUAAUCAAUUUCAUUGUAUUGAGUUGAUUGAUCAAUGAUAGAUAUAUGAUGAGUUGGCCUU